rnacentral:rRNA from 1 species
GACGAACGCUGGCGGCGUGCUUAACACAUGCGAGUCGAACGGUGAAGCUCCAGCUUGCUGGAGUGGAUCAGUGGCGAACGGGUGAGUAACACGUGAGCAACCUGCCCCUGACUCUGGAAUAAGCGCUGGAAACGGCGUCUAAUACUGGAUACGAGAAGGGUCCGCAUGGGCACUUUCUGGAAAGUUUUUCGGUUGGGGAUGGGCUCGCGGCCUAUCAGCUUGUUGGUGAGGUAAUGGCUCACCAAGGCGACGACGGGUAGCCGGCCUGAGAGGGCGACCGGCCACACUGGGACUGAGACACGGCCCAGACUCCUACGGGAGGCAGCAGUGGGGAAUAUUGCACAAUGGGCGAAAGCCUGAUGCAGCGACGCCGCGUGAGGGAUGACGGCCUUCGGGUUGGAAACCUCUUUCAGCAGGGAAGAAGCGAAAGGGACGGUACCUGCAGAAGAAGCACCGGCUAACUACGG